rnacentral:rRNA from 1 species
GAAUUCCAGGUGUAGCGGUGAAAUGCGUAGAGAUCUGGAGGAAUACCGGUGGCGAAGGCGGCCCCCUGGACGAAGACUGACGCUCAGGUGCGAAAGCGUGGGGAGCAAACAGGAUUAGAUACCCUGGUAGUCCACGCCGUAAACGAUGUCGACUUGGAGGUUGUGCCCUUGAGGCGUGGCUUCCGGAGCUAACGCGUUAAGUCGACCGCCUGGGGAGUACGGCCGCAAGGUUAAAACUCAAAUGAAUUGACGGGGGCCCGCACAAGCGGGGGAGCAUGUGGUUUAAUUCGAUGCAACGCGAAGAACCUUACCUGGUCUUG